rnacentral:rRNA from 1 species
AUUGAACGCUGGCGGCGUGCCUAACACAUGCAAGUCGAGCGGUAACAGGUGUAGCAAUACAUGCUGACGAGCGGCGGACGGGUGAGUAACGCUUGGGAAUCUGCCUAUUAGUGGGGGACAACCCGGGGAAACUCGGGCUAAUACCGCAUACGCUCUACGGAGGAAAGCCGGGGACCGCAAGGCCUGGCGCUAAUAGAUGAGCCCAAGUCGGAUUAGCUAGUUGGUAGGGUAAUGGCCUACCAAGGCGACGAUCCGUAACUGGUCUGAGAGGACGACCAGUCACACCGGAACUGAGACACGGUCCGGACUCCUACGGGAGGCAGCAGUGGGGAAUAUUGGACAAUGGGCGAAAGCCUGAUCCAGCGACGCCGCGUGGGUGAAGAAGGCCUGCGGGUUGUAAAGCCCUUUCAGUGGGGAAGAAAAGCCUCGACCUAACACGUCGGGGUCUUGACGUAACCCAUAGAAGAAGCACCGGCUAACU